CCCACGUGGACGCCGAUAACCGCGAGAGGCAGUGUUGGCCCUUGCCAGACCUACACUAUCACACCUGGCGUGCAGCAUAAAAGGAGAUUGAGGAGUCUCUGCGCCUCCCCGUCAGUAAUGUUGAUCCCUAGCCGCCGGAAGGAUGACUUCAGCUCCCUCUCGUCCACGCGUCCUGCACACGAAAACAUAGGCCUUUAGUUAUCUGUUCCGGGAUGGCGUCCCAAGAAGCUGAGAAACGAACGCUUCCUCCACCGGCCAGGAUUAGCCACUGGGAAACGCUAAGUGUCAUUUACUACUACGAAUAAAGCUCAGUUUAUAACA